rnacentral:tRNA from 1 species
UCUUUUGUGGUGUAGUGGUUAGCAUUUGGUUCUAGCUUUUUAGGAACCUAGGUUCGAUGCCUAGCAAGUGA